rnacentral:rRNA from 1 species
UACGUAGGGGGCAAGCGUUGUCCGGAAUCAUUGGGCGUAAAGCGCGCGUAGGCGGCCCGGUAAGUCCGCUGUAAAAGUCCAGGGCUCAACCCUGGAAAGCCGGUGGAUACUGUCGGGCUAGAGUCCGGAAGAGGCGAGUGGAAUUCCUGGUGUAGCGGUGGAAUGCGCAGAUAUCGGGAAGAACACCCGUGGCGAAGGCGGCUCUCUGGGACGGUACUGACGCUGAGACGCGAAAGCGUGGGGAGCGAACAGG